UACAGGAGGGUGCGAGCGUUAAUUCGGAAUUACUGGGCGUAAAGCGCGCGUAGGCGGCUUUGCAAGUCGAAGUCGGUGAAACUCCCCAGGCUUAACCUGGGAACUGACAUUCGAGACUGCAUAGCUAGAGUAUGGGAGAGGAAGUGGAAUUCAGUGUAGUGGUGAAAUGCGUAGAGAGUCGGCAGGAACACCCAGGGGGAAACCGCGGAACUGGGCCAUUGGC
rnacentral:rRNA from 1 species